UACGAAGGGGGGCUAGCGUUGCUCGGAAUUACUGGGCGUAAAGCGCACGUAGGUGGCUUGAUAAGUUGGGUGUGAAAUCCCCCGGGCUUAACCUGGGAAUUGCAUUCAAGACUGUCUUGCUAGAGUGUGGAAGAGGGAAGCGGAAUUCCAGGUGUAGCGGUGAAAUGCGUAGAUAUCUGGAGGAACAUCAGUGGCGAAGGCGGCUUCCUGGUCCAACACUGACACUGAGGUGCGAAAGCGUGGGGAGCAAACAGG
rnacentral:rRNA from 1 species